rnacentral:tRNA from 1 species
CGCCGAGAAGCUUACAAGUCCAAGCGUUAGCCUUUUAAGCUAAAGAUAGGUGCCUGACGACCACCCUAGGUGA